rnacentral:rRNA from 1 species
UACGUAGGUGGCAAGCGUUGUCCGGAUUUACUGGGCGUAAAGGAUGCGUAGGCGGACAUUUAAGUCAGAUGUGAAAUACCCGAGCUUAACUUGGGUGCUGCAUUUGAAACUGGGUGUCUAGAGUGCAGGAGAGGUAAGUGGAAUUCCUAGUGUAGCGGUGAAAUGCGUAGAGAUUAGGAAGAACACCAGUGGCGAAGGCGACUUACUGGAAAAUACCUGACACUGAGGCACGAAAGCUAGGGGAGCAAACAGG